UUCACGUGAUGGUGGUGACAUUCACAAUGGUUGCAUCUAAUUCCAUUUCAGCACAGAGAUACCCGCAGCAAUACUGUGAGAAUCAAUGGAAACAUGUUCAGAUCAGCACGACUACGAUUAUGGCGAAUAUAACUAAGGUUCUGACAAGAUAUUGCCACAAAUCGAUCAAAAGUAAAAACGAAAGUUAACCAGGCGGAAUUGUCAAUAACUUCCAGAUUAAAUGCAGCAUGAAACCUGCACACUGAUGUGGUAGAAAGGAAACUGGAUGGGAAAUAGCUUCCAGCAAUCCGAUUUAAAAUCACAUCUGUGACCAUGACCAGGAGAUCUGCUGCUGCCAUUCCCACUAAGUAGUACGUGAUGCAUCCAGAUAAACAACAGGUUCUUCGAUACAGGAUUGCAAUCACUGCUAUAUUAACUGGAAGAAAGAAAGAGAGUGAGUUACAAACGGACCAUUUCUCCUUCUGAUUACAAUAAGGGUUUUUCCCAUAUUACAGGAUUUUUUUGAGACGUUUCAAGAUUUUAGAAGGAAAUCACAAUUUGGCCAUCAUUCCUUAUUUUGUAGAAUAACUGAUUUUUGAAUUAAACAUUGAAAUGUGGAAACCAAAUUAAUGACUCAACAAGGAAUAGUAUUUAGACAUCUUCGCAGUCAGCAACAAUCCACCCACCAACAGUUCACCACUUCAUUUAGUUGGGACC